GUCCUUUUGGUAGGUCUUCCCUCUAUUCUCUUCAUCUCCAUGGUUGUAGCCUUUCGUUGUUUCUGGACCUAGCAGAAAACCCAUCACCGGCAAACUUGGUUUCUAUUAGCGAAAUGUGAGUUUCUGACCUAUCCAUGUUCUCCGGUGUAAACACUUGACCGUGUGCCCUAGAACUGCCCGAGAUCCUAUCUUGCAUACCAAAAUUAAUUUCCUGGAGACUGUCAAUGCUUGGCUACUAGCUGAGGAAUUUAGCUACAAUAUUAUGGAUGGGAUAUCAAUUGAUAGACCACUUCGAUUUAUAGCAACAAGCCAUGAACUUUGAUGCUCUGUGUGCUAAGCUCUAGCUUCUACCUCGGUGAUUUUUGAUUUUGUCAGUGGAAGUAGCAGCGUAAGGUGAUGGGGUAUUUUCGGUCAAGUGUUCCUACAACUCACUCUAAUGGUACUACCCAGCCAGAUCUUUGGCCAUUGAAAUCCAUAUGGAUGAGUAAAGCUCAUGUAAGCAUAUGGAAGAGUAAAGCUCAUGUAAGUAGCUUGUUUUUGUAGGAUUGUAUCUCAUGGUGUCAUAAGUAUAAACAAUUGUAUUUAUUUUGGCUUUUUGACUAAAUUUUUAACAUUAUGACACAUAGUUUUUCUAUUUUCUCAGCUCAUGAAAUUGUUAAGGGACUGUGGUUGUGUUGUUUAUACAUGCAUCUACUUGGUGUUGUUUCUCAUUAAUAAUAUUAUCUUACUUUCCAAAAAAAUUCAUUAUGUUCAUUGCUAGACCUGGAUUAUUUCUCAAGCGAAAAUUGAUAUAAUGACAUUAUAGUGGCUAUGUUUAGAUAAAGUGACGCUCUGUUUAAUAAAAAAUUAGAAAAUAGAAUUGGGAUUUCUUGAAGUUCCUAUUGGAAGGCUUGAAUGUUGUACACCUUGUUACGUCUUUGCUCCAUAAAAAUAGAAAAGGAGGAUGAUAUAUGCUAAUGUCUCCACAUUAACUCAGCAGCCUAUUUGCUGUAAAUAGACUUAUUUAACUCCUUCCGGGAAUUAGACAUUUGAGUAUCAAUUUACAAACUCAACAUUGAAUUUGUUCUAAAUGCAUA